UUCAGAUAAUAAUGAAGCUAUACAAAACUUAAACAAUGAUUAAAUAAAGCUAAAUAUAAAAGAAAACUUUUAACAAUACUGUAAUUCACCACUUUAUAAAUAAGUGCAACUUUAAAGCAUAAAAUAUGGCAAGCUACUUAACAAUCUAAGUUCAC